UCUGUCAUGGAGAGCCUUCCAUCUUCUCCUGAAUGUCAGUGUCUAAUUCAUCUUCAUCAAGUCCCCCCGCAGGAAGAUUUGGAUCUUAUUACUUUUUGUUUUACAGUUUUAUCUUUUACAGGAAAUUGGGACUCAGAGAAAAAGAAAGAGGAAUCUGCCCACUUUUCAGUCAACUUACCCAAUGGGAGAAGACACACCUUCCCAUGUGGAUCUUGUAGAAGCUUCUGGAGGGUGACCCUUGCUGUGUCAGCCUUUCUAUGCAUGAUCAGUUUGCUGUGAUCUAUGGAGAACUCCCACCUCAGGAAUUUGAAGCCUGUGGAAUGACUCUGAUGGUGGAAUUUCAAGAAUCAAGGGAGGCAAGUGAAGAUGAAACUUCAAAGCAGCAAAGGUUUCUUAACACCCUUCGAUGUUUAGGACAUAAGUGACCACUUAUUUAUGAGCUGUUCAUGGGUUAAGACUGAUCCUAGAGGUUGAUGGAA